rnacentral:rRNA from 1 species
UACGUAGGGGGGCAAGCGUUGUCCGGAAUCAUUGGGCGUAAAGCGCGUGUAGGCGGCCCCGAUAAGUCCGCUGUGAAAAGUCCAGGGCUCAACCCCUGGAAUGCCGGUGGAUACUGUCGGGCUCGAGUCCGGAAGAGGCGAGUGGAAUUCCUGGUGUAGCGGUGAAAUGCGCAGAUAUCAGGAGGAACACCGAUGGCGAAGGCAGCUCGCUGGGACGGUACUGACGCUGAGACGCGAAAAGCGUGGGGGAGCAAAACAGG